UACGGAGGGGGCUAGCGUUGUUCGGAAUUACUGGGCGUAAAGCGCACGUAGGCGGCUUUGUAAGUUAGAGGUGAAAGCCCAGGGCUCAACCCUGGAAUUGCCUUUAAGACUGCAUCGCUUGAACAUCGGAGAGGUAAGUGGAAUUCCGAGUGUAGAGGUGAAAUUCGUAGAUAUUCGGAAGAACACCAGUGGCGAAGGCGACUUACUGGACGAUUGUUGACGCUGAGGUGCGAAAGCGUGGGGAGUAAACAGG
rnacentral:rRNA from 1 species